UGCAGUCGAACGGAAACAGGACGCUGUGAUCCCUUCGGGGUGAACUUGUCGCUGUCGAGUGGCGGACGGGUGAGUAAUGCAUAGGAAUCUGCCCAGUAGGGGGGGACAACCUGGGGAAACUCAGGCUAAUACCGCAUACGACCUACGGGUGAAAGCGGGGGCUCUUUGGACCUCGCGCUAUUGGAUGAGCCUAUGUCUGAUUAGUUUGUUGGUGGGGUAACGGCCUACCAAGGCGACGAUCAGUAGCUGGUCUGAGAGGACGAUCAGCCACACUGGGACUGAGACACGGCCCAGACUCCUACGGGAGGCAGCAGUGGGGAAUAUUGGACAAUGGGCGCAAGCCUGAUCCAGCAAUGCCGCGUGUGUGAAGAAGGCCUGCGGGUUGUAAAGCACUUUCAGUAGAGAAGAAAAGCCUGGGGUUAAUACCCCCAAGUCUUGACGUAACCUACAGAAGAAGCACCGGCUAACUCCGUGCCAGCAGCCGCGGUAAUACGGAGGGUGCGAGCGUUAAUCGGAAUUACUGGGCGUAAAGCGCGCGUAGGCGGCCAAGUCAGUCGGAUGUGAAAGCCCCGGGCUCAACCUGGGAAUUGCAUUCGAUACUGCUUGGCUAGAGUAUGGGAGAGGGAAGCGGAAUUUCCGAUGUAGCGGUGAAAUGCGUAGAUAUCGGAAGGAACAUCAGUG
rnacentral:rRNA from 1 species